rnacentral:rRNA from 1 species
GACGAACGCUGGCGGCGUGCUUAACACAUGCAAGUCGAACGGAAAGGCCCUGCUUUUGUGGGGUGCUCGAGUGGCGAACGGGUGAGUAACACGUGAGUAACCUGCCCUUGACUUUGGGAUAACUUCAGGAAACUGGGGCUAAUACCUGAUAGGAGCUCCUGCUGCAUGGUGGGGGUUGGAAGGUUUGGGCGGUUGGGGUUGGACUCGCGGCUUAUCAGCUUGUUGGUGGGGUAGUGGCUUACCAAGGCUUUGACGGGUGUCCGGCCUGAGAGGGUGACCGGCCACAUUGGGAAUGAGAUACGGCCCAGACUCCUACGGGAGGCAGCAGUGGAGAAUAUUGCACAAUGGGCGGAAGCCUGAUGCAGCAACGCCGCGUGCGGGAUGACGGCCUUCGGGUUGUAAACCGCUUUCGCCUGUGACGAAGCGUGGGUGACGGUAAUGGGUAAAGAAGCACCGGCUAACUACGUG